CCUACGGGCGGCAGCAGUGGGGAAUAUUGGACAAUGGACGAGACCCUGAUCCAGCGACGCCGCGUGAGUGAAGAAUUCAUUCGUUAUGUAAAGCUCUAUCAGCAGGGAAGUAAAUUACGGUACCUGAGUAAGAAUCCCCGUCUAACUACGUUCCAGCUGCCGCGGUAAUACGUAGGGGGCAAGCGUUAUCCGGAUUUACUGGGUGUAAAGGGAGCGUAGACGGAAGGGCAAGUCUGGAGUGAAAGGCUGGGGCUCAACCCCCAGACUGCUCUGGAAACUGUACGGCUGGAGUGCAGGAGAGGUAAGUGGAAUUCCUGGUGUAGCGGUGAAAUGCGUAGAUAUUAGGAGGAACACCAGUGGCGAAGGCAGCUUACUGGACUGUAACUGACGUUGAGGCUCGAAAGCGUGGGGAGCAAACAGGAUUAGAUACCCCAGUAGUU
rnacentral:rRNA from 1 species